rnacentral:rRNA from 1 species
GACGAACGCUGGCGGCGUGCUUAACACAUGCAAGUCGUACGGUAAGGCCCUUUCGGGGGUACACGAGUGGCGAACGGGUGAGUAACACGUGAGUAACCUGCCCACAACUUUGGGAUAACGCUAGGAAACUGGUGCUAAUACUGGAUAUGUGCUCCUGCUGCAUGGUGGGGGUUGGAAAGCUCCGGCGGUUGUGGAUGGACUCGCGGCCUAUCAGCUUGUUGGUGGGGUAGUGGCCUACCAAGGCGGCGACGGGUAGCCGGCCUGAGAGGAUGACCGGCCACAUUGGGACUGAGAUACGGCCCAGACUCCUACGGGAGGCAGCAGUGGGGAAUAUUGCACAAUGGGCGCAAGCCGGAUGCAGCAACGCCGCGUGCGGGAUGACGGCCUUCGGGUUGUAAACCGCUUUCAGCAGGGACGAAGCUUUUUGUGACGGUACCUGCAGAAGAAGCACCGGCUAACUACGUG